rnacentral:lncRNA from 1 species
UGUGUAUGUGUGUCUGAUGGUUUCGUGGGGUGUGUUUGGUUUAUUUAUUAUAGAAUGUGAUACAUUUGAUGUCUUUUCGUUCGAAAUUGUUAUUUACUGGAAUAUGCAUAAAUUUUGAUGGAAGCUGAGAGACUACAUUCAGAAAAAAUUCCUUCUUUUACCAUUUAUGAGGUUUUAUUGAUGGUUGUAUUGUUAGAUGAAGUCAAUAUUCGAAAAUAAGUGUCAUGAAAAAGUAAAUAUUUAGAAGAAAAAAACUUUGAUUGAGAUGCACUUAUUCUCAAUGAGGACUUUCCUUCAAGUUCGAAAACUGCAAAAGCAAAUGGAUAAGAAU